GACGAAUGCUGGCGGCGUGCUUAACACAUGCAAGUCGAACGGAAAGGCCCUGCUUUUGUGGGGUGCUCGAGUGGCGAACGGGUGAGUAACACGUGAGUAACCUGCCCUUGACUUUGGGAUAACUUCAGGAAACUGGGGCUAAUACCGGAUAGGAGCUCCUGCUGCAUGGUGGGGGUCGGAAAGUUUCGGCGGUUGGGGAUGGACUCGCGGCUUAUCAGCUUGUUGGUGGGGUAGUGGCUUACCAAGGCUUUGACGGGUAGCCGGCCUGAGAGGGUGACCGGCCACAUUGGGACUGAGAUACGGCCCAGUCUCCUACGGGAGGCAGCAGUGGGGAAUAUUGCACAAUGGGCGGAAGCCUGAUGCAGCAACGCCGCGUGCGGGAUGACGGCCUUCGGGUUGUAAACCGCUUUCGCCUGUGACGAAGCGUGAGUGACGGUAAUGGGUAAAGAAGCACCGGCUAACUACGUG
rnacentral:rRNA from 1 species